rnacentral:rRNA from 1 species
UCAACUUGAGAGUUUGAUCCUGGCUCAGAACGAACGCUGGCGGCAGGCCUAACACAUGCAAGUCGAGCGCACCUUCGGGUGAGCGGCGGACGGGUUAGUAACGCGUGGGAACGUACCCUUUUCUACGGAAUAGCCUUUGGAAACGAAGAGUAAUACCGUAUACGCCCUUUGGGGGAAAGAUUUAUCGGAGAAGGAUCGGCCCGCGUUAGAUUAGAUAGUUGGUGGGGUAACGGCCUACCAAGUCUACGAUCUAUAGCUGGUUUUAGAGGAUGAUCAGCAACACUGGGACUGAGACACGGC